AGCUUUGCGCAGUGGCAGUAUCGUAGCCAAAGACAUUUAUCCGAGGUGCCAUUAUUGUUAAUUGAAAACUUUUCCUAACUCAUGAAAUAUGUUUGAGUGCCUUGUGGUUCUUUUCUGUUCUAUUUUGGGGUUUUGCCUACGAU